rnacentral:rRNA from 1 species
UACGAAGGGUGCAAGCGUUACUCGGAAUUACUGGGCGUAAAGGGUGCGUAGGCGGUUCGUUAAGUCUGUCGUGAAAUCCCCGGGCUCAACCUGGGAAUGGCGAUGGAUACUGGCGAGCUAGAGUGUGUCAGAGGAUGGUGGAAUUCCCGGUGUAGCGGUGAAAUGCGUAGAUAUCGAGAGGAACACCAGUGGCGAAGGCGGCUCACUGGGCACCACCUGACGCUGAGGCGCGAAAGCGUGGGGAGCAAACAGG